GUCUACGGCCAUGCCACCCUGAACAAGCCCAAUGUCUGAUCUUGGAAGCUAAGCAGGGUCAGGCCUGGUUAGUACUUGGAUGAGAGACCACCUAGGAAGACCAGGUGCUGUAGGCA
rnacentral:rRNA from 1 species